AAGCAGUGUUUGUGAAUGGGAAGUUCUGUAAGGACCCAAAGCUUGCCAAUGCAAAUGAUUUCUUCUUUUCUGGCCUCCAAAAUCCAAGAAACACACAAAAUCCGCUUGGUUCAAAUGUGACAGCCGUGAAUGUGGACAACCUACUAGGACUGAACACUCUCGGCAUAUCCUUGGCUCGCAUAGACUUUGCACCAAAUGGCCUAAACCCUCCUCACACUCACCCUCGUGCCACUGAAAUCCUUGUGGUCUUGGAAGGAACACUCUAUGUUGGUUUCGUCACAUCCAACGGUGAUGGCAAUCGCCUAUUCACCAAAGUGUUGAACAAGGGAGAUGUGUUUGUGUUCCCAAUUGGCCUCAUUCACUUCCAACUCAAUGUGGGACACGUCAACGCUGUAGCCUUUGCUGGGCUUAGCAGCCAGAACCCAGGAGUGAUCACCAUAGCCAAAGCAGUGUUUGGCUCCCAGCCUCCCAUCAACCCUGAUGUUCUAGCCAAGGCCUUCCAAGUGGACGACAAUGUGGUUGACAAUCUUCAGAAACAGUUCUGGUACGACAACAAUUAGUAAAAUACAACAAAUAAUUAUAAGGCCAAGGAAAGAACAACCAAUCGAUGUGCUUGGUUGGAUGUAUUAAGUUGGCCAAUAUGUUUUUCACUACGUACCUACAAUAAAUUACUAUGAUGUAAUAUUAAUUGAAUAAGAUUGUUGGAUACUUACCCUCUGGGUUUUGAAAUAACAUAAUUUCAUACUUUAGUUUUGAAAUAACAUUAUGCAUUAAUUCAACAAAGUUAUUAUGACAGCUUAAUAAUACUAAAAUGGAGGAGCCUUGCCAUUUUAACAUUGAUAAAUUUGGCCCAUGCUCUAGGGCAAAUCAAGUAGAAAUUUCUCUCUCUCGAGGACAGCUAUUUGCGUGCAAUUAGUGCAGACAUUAAAUUCAACCGUUGGAUCGAUUUUAAAAGGUUACAUGUGUUAGAAUUCAAAGCUUCUAGUAAUUAGUUUUGAAUAUUUUGGAUGUUUGGGAGGAAGGAAGAAAUCACAGAGAGAGAAUGAAGAAGAGAACGUUGCUCUGAAUAGAAAAAUGGAGAUUACUUUUCAUUUCUACUCCACUAGCCAAUAUAUCGUCAGGAAAGAGAGAGAAGUGAGAUGCUUCUCUAACAGAUUUACAUCAAGAUUGAAUCCUUGCCAUUGCUCCUAUCAUCCUAUGAGAUGCUCACAUUUGUCACAAGCUAUCACUUAAAUCCUAGGCUAGAAACAGAGUCCACUUGGACUAUGAUCCAAUGGCUCACAUUACAAACAUAAAUUAAAACAUAUAAAAUGAAAUUCAAAAAACUUUGUGACUUUGGCUCCAAGGUUUUCAGCUCAAGGGUUACACAUCAACAACAUGUAGAAUCUGGUAAAAGAAAACACAAAUAAACCUAACUGAGACCCAGUGACCCACACAAUCAUCUUCUCUUUCCUCUUUCUCUGCCUUCUUCUAUUUUCCUCUCCUUCUCCUAUCCUCUCUCUUUGGGCAUUCAAAUUGAAAAAUUGAGCUUAAUCGAGCAGAAAAAAAUCGAAAUAACCAAAAAUCAGACCGAGUUAACCAAAAACUGAACUAGACCGGUUUGGUCCGAUUUCAAUUCCAGUAUCUUGUAGUGAAAAAAGGGACCGGGCGAACCGAACAGAUUGUGGUGAAUUUCAGACAACGGUUUUUUUUUUUUUUUUUUUCAUCUUCUCAUAAUCUUCAUAUCUGUUUCACAUUUUCUUCUCCCUUCUCAUCUCUCUCUACUUUCUCACUUUGAAAAUUCAAUAAUCUACGACCGUAACAACUCGGGUUAUUAAAAAUAUAUAUAUAUAUAUAUAUAUAUAUAUUCGACUUACUAAUUUCCAUAAAAAUUAAAUGACACAUUUGUGUGUUUGAAAUAUUACUGGAGGGACUGUUUAAGAGCUACUCAGUCAUGUUGGUAAACAUCAUUUGAAGUUAAGCAGCAUCAGAUUGAAUUCAGGUGUGCCUGCCAAUUAUCUGAAUAACAUCUGUGUUUUAGGAUCAAAAAGAAAACAUAACAAGAAAAAAAAAAAAAAAAAAACACCACCAGCUAACCCCAACGGGAAAAUAAUCAGGAGCAGCGGCUGCUUUGAGCAAGACCAGUUUUUUUUUUAAUCGGUGGACUGACUGUAAAAUUUUAUAUCGAGGCAAAUUGUCACCAUCAAUGUUAAUAUAUAAGGAAACGAAUUUCAUUCUCUUUGUAGAAUGAAUCCAUAUAUAGCAUAAGCAUUGAACAUUUCCAUUGGUUAAAUACCACCUAAUUAAAAAAAAUAAAUAAUUAUCUCCUAACUACUCUUUUUUUUGGUACAACUCCUAAUACCUGGUCUUUCAUCAUCAUAAUUAUAUGAAUAUAUUCUCCCUCAACUGACCUUGUCUUAUAAUUAAACAACCCUAAUAACCCUUUACAAAAGGUAACUUAUUUUAUUGAAACACCAAACAGUAGAGCUGAGUCAAAGUUCUUCAAAAUUCUAUCACAACUGAAUUUUCUUUUUCUAGUGCUAAAAUAUAUGUAGGAAAUUUAUUGUUCAAUAGUUAAACUUAAAGGUGAGAUUUUGUCAAAUACCAAGUCUUGACUUGCCUCUAAAUACCCCUAUCUCAAGGGUAAGAAAAUGACCAAAAUACCCCUAUCUCAAGGGUAAAUUUGUAAUUUCCCUUAAAUAAUGUAAAUAACUUAAAUAAAUGGUUAAAUUUGGAGUCGGGGUGUUACAUAAAUACCACCUAAUUAAAAAAAAAAAUAUAAUUAUCUCCUAACUACUCUUUCUUUUUGGUACAAUUCCUUGCAAUGUUAUCGAAUCGGUUUCCUGUAAUUUUGUUACAAUGGAGAACCCUCCUGCUUCUAAUGGUGAUGAGACCCUGUCAAUUAUGGAUUGCUUUGCAGAAGAAAGCAAGUUUCUUGUGAAUGAUAAUGGCAAAAAUGAGUCUCUAGGCAACAUUGCCAACAUCCAAAUAUAAUUUGCAUUGUUUAUCAGAUUAUCUCUAUCAUCAUAGACUUAUAUAUAUGUGAAAAUGCCCUCCAUUUUCCAGGUUGUGCCAGCACAGGUUUUGUUCACUGGUUAGCUAAAAUAUUGUACUUAAAUUCGUUUUAAUCAUAUGUGGGCUUGCUUAGGAGACUUUCAUGGGGGCCCAAACCUAGCUUCAAAGGAUGGCUCAAGCCCAGAAUAUUUUUUUGAUAUUUUUCCCGAAAAGAUAUAAAGCAGGCUUUAUGAUGUUCCUUGGCCCUCAAACACCAAAGCAUACUAGGAGUUGGUAAGGAGGCAACAACCCACCUCUGCAAGCACAACAUGUCAACUAUAUUGGCUGCACAUAAGUAGAGCACAUACUUUUUGGUCGUCCAUUAGAGUUGUUGAAAUAUCAAGAAGAUACAAGAGCACUUCUCCUCAUUCUAAUCCCUCACACACUCAUUUUAGAUGGGGUGAAUACUUUAGUGUAAGUUACAUUGAUCGGUUGAGCAUGAACACUUGUAUUCAUAUGCAUUUGUUUAAGAGUUUUUCCCAUCAAGAAACUCUCUAACAAUCCUUAUUAUAUUAGGUUAGGUUAAGUUAUUUCAAUCCAUAUAGAAUAGGGAAGUAUCACAAGCCUUGUUUAACUUGUACUACACGUCUGCAAGGCUAUCUGAUUGGCUAUUAGUUAAUUUCUUCUGCGUACUUUUAUCAGUUACCACAUGUGCUGAUGUGUUUGCCAUUUUCAUCUUGGCUUUUUCCAGUCAUAAGUAUGCCGAUUUUUUAUUUGGUUAUGUGAAUCUUGCAAUGCCUUUGGUGUUUAUUUGACUAAGAAGUCUUUUUUUUCCUAUUUGUGUUAUCAUUUUAAAACACUCUCUGUGCAUGUGUUGUAGCUUGCCAAUACAUAUUUGCAAAUGCUGUAACUAAUUAGUGCCUUUAUGCUAUCGGAUGCUUCUUUCAGAUAUGUUUGGUUCUUGUCACUGUUUCCUUUACCAUAGCUGGAGAGUAAAGAAAAACCCUGCUUUAUUUUGCUAGUAGUAAUUGUAUUCUAUUAUCCUCUGCUGAUGAGGAUUUUCUUUCUCUUCCUGCUUUCUUGAUAAUGCUCUCUUGUUUUUCCAAUGAGCAAUGAUAUGUUACUGCUUAUAGUAAUAUCUGACUCUUCUCAACUACAGAAUGUCAUUGCUUGAAGCAUGAGUUUUGAACUAGAUGGUGUAACUUCCAUACUGUUAAUACAUUUUAAUUUUUCUUACAUACAUCUGUAUCUGUUGGCUUCCCUAAGUGUAAUGUGUGCAUAUUAUCCUGCAGGAACUUAAUAAUCUCGAACAUUUGGGCAAUGCUACACCUCAUUUCAAUACAAGCAACAUAUAUAAAGGUCUAGGAGACUUGGAAAACUUGGGUAGAGUUGGUGAAGUUGGAUAUAAUUUUUGCAGUGAGCCUGAUUCUAGGAGCCAUUUUCUGGAGCUAUAUGAUCUCGACCAACCUCAGCAUCCUAAUCUCUUCUUUUAGUUAUGUAAUUUUUAUGGCAAGUUUACUUUGCAUUGAUGGUUACCGAUUCCGGAUUUUAUUUUGAUUUCAACUAUAUUAUCCAAUCAUGUAUCCCUUUAUGUUUCUUAGCUUGUAUUACCUUUGCUGCUUUUGGGCUGUUUAAUGAAUUAUUCACUAUUGACCAAAGGAAAAUUCUAGAAGUUUAAAUUUUACCCUGAGCAUUUCCAGAAACACUACUUUUUUUUUGGGUUGCUAAUUCUUAGUUAAAAUGGCUAGAAAGUUAUUUUGAAUGAAAUAAAAAGAGGGAAGGAUUUUGGCGGAGUUAAAGUGGAUUUAGCAUUUCCAGAAAGACUUACUGUUUUCCAUAAAAAGUAAAUGACAGAUUUGUCUCUCAACCACGUAAAAAGUCCCCAACCAAUUCAAGAAAUAUUACUUGCAAAGGGACUCAGUCGAAUUGGUAAACAUCAUUUGAAGUUAAAGCACCAUCAGUCCAGUCGGAUUGAACUGAGGUCUGCCUGCAACUAUCUGAAUAACAACUGUGUUUUAGGACCAAAAUAAGAGCAAAAAAAAAAAAAAGAAAAAAAAAAGAAACACCAGCAGCUAACCCCAAGUGGGAAAACAGAGAGCAAGACCAGUUUCAAACCAGCUAGAAGGUGAAAAAUGAAACAGAAGAAAAAGUCAUGAACUCAAAUUUCGAGGGUGGAAGGACUGUAAAAUUUUAUAUUGAGGCAAAUUGUCACCAUCAAUGUUAAUAGGAGAAUGAGUUUCAUAAUUCAUUCUCUUUGGCAGAAUGAAUCCAUUCCAUAUAUAGCAUAAGCAUUGAUCAUUUCCAUUGGUUAAAUACCACUGGGUUUAAACUUAUAAUAUUAAGUAGAAGAAAAAAAAGAAGCAGCAAUUAAUUUGAAGUAAAAGAUUCAAACCCUAAACUAUAUGGAUCUGGAAGGAAGAAAAUUAAUAUAAAAUUUUGGUCAAUAUAUACCUUCUAGUUAAACUUAAAGGUGAGAUUUUUUCAAACAUCAAGUCUUGACUUGGUUCUAAAUACUAAGUAUAUAUAUAUAUAUAUAUAUAUAUAUAUAUAUAUAUAUAUAUAUUCAAAUCCUUACCUGCUUCGACAUGGAAAAUCAUAUCCAAGAGUACAAGACCAGUUCAUUCUCCCCAGUCUAUAAAUAGGCUUCUAACCCAUGAAGGAUUUUCAUCUCACACCCUCAAACCAAAUCUUUAUUACGUACCUAGCAAAUUAAGCCAACUGCAAUGAAAGGUGUUUAUUUCCUCAUAAGCACUCUUGCCAUAUUGGCAUCUGCAACUUUCCUUGUCUCUGCCUCUGACCCCAGUCCUCUUCAGGACUUCUGUGUAGCACUCAAUGACACCAAAUCUGCUGGUAUGCAUUAAUAUAUACUUGUGUUAAUUAUUUAUAUUCUGCCCUGCAAUUAUUCCCACAUGAAUUAUUUUCAUUAGAUAUUAGUUUUAUGAAGAUCGUUUUUCUGUUAACUAUAGCUUCUUCUCAUGCAUGAAAAAUCUAUUAGUACGUAAUUUUACAUAUGAAUAAUGCUAUUUGCACUGCAUUUACUGGGCAUCUUAAUGAUCAUCUCUCUGAUAUACAUUAAAGUGGUUUCCACUUACGUACGUGGAUUUUACCUCCGAAUAGCUCUAACACUAAAGUUUAAUAUAAAUUUUUUUUGGGUUGUAGAAGCAGUGUUUGUGAAUGGGAAGUUCUGUAAGGACCCAAAGCUUGCCAAUGCAAAUGAUUUCUUCUUUUCUGGCCUCCAAAAUCCAAGAAACACACAAAAUCCGCUUGGUUCAAAUGUGACAGCCGUGAAUGUGGACAACCUACUAGGACUGAACACUCUCGGCAUAUCCUUGGCUCGCAUAGACUUUGCACCAAAUGGCCUAAACCCUCCUCACACUCACCCUCGUGCCACUGAAAUCCUUGUGGUCUUGGAAGGAACACUCUAUGUUGGUUUCGUCACAUCCAACGGUGAUGGCAAUCGCCUAUUCACCAAAGUGUUGAACAAGGGAGAUGUGUUUGUGUUCCCAAUUGG
rnacentral:lncRNA from 1 species